GUCUCUCCAACAUCACCACAUUCGAGAUCUCUGUUGAUGGUCCUUAAGUAUCAAAUUUAAUUAUCAAAUAAAUAAAGAAAAGGAUCCAAAUGAAAUCAACAUCUAGACUUAGGGUUUUUUUGACAGAAUUCCAUGAGUUUUGGUGUUUGUCUAUUUAUGCAGGGGGUUAUCAGGAAAUAUGGAAGAAAGGCCCACAUGUCGGGAUUACGUAAAGAUAUUAACGUGCUGCGCAAUUAUCUUACAUCUAGAAGACUCCAGAAGCCAC
rnacentral:lncRNA from 1 species